UCUCUUCACCCAUCCUCUUUUCUCUUCACCCAUCCUCUUCAGAUUCUCUCUAAUAUUUCGAUAAACCUCAGAUCAGUUUUCCAGAGUUUGGCCAAUGAGUGCAGCACCAGUCGCUGGUCACCAUCAUCGAAAUUAUCCCAAAAACCCUCUGCCAACUUGUUUGGCCUCCCCUUUUACAUUCUCAAAUUGGUUUCUUCAUAAACUUGUUGAUUUUUUUGUCAAUCUGAGCUUAAAGUUAUGGUUUUGGUCCCCUUCUCCGCUGCUACGAUGGCCACCAAAUUUGGAUCUUGAGUUGGUGAGCUUGGACUCUUGGUGGUAACCAUGAUUGUUGUUAAAGCUUUUGGAUGGGUAUGUUGUUAAAGCUUUCGGAUGGCUAUGGCGUUGUUAAAGCUUUCGGAUGGCUAUGGCCUUGGCAGUGGAGGGUUAUAGUGGAAUGUAAGGAUUAGAUUAGAAAUUAAGUUUGCUGAUUGUUGACUAAAGGAAAUAGUCUCAGUAUUGGGAUUGGAUGAUUAUGUGUUUGCUAGUUAGUUUUCUUGUUAACAACCCCCUAUGUAUUGUGUG